rnacentral:rRNA from 1 species
AUGAUUGGUGUGGAUAAGGACCGUGCCCCAAUGGUCACCGCGGAACACCAGCUGGACAUGCAAUGGAUCGACCGCACCAUCCCUAAGGAUGACUGCUGGGACAAUACUAGUUACAUCUUUAAGCUAGACGGCAAGCUUGCAAUGGCGUUGAAGACCCGGUGGUUGCCAAACAUCCAACCUUUCUUCAAGGUGUUCAAACUUGUUGACAUCUGCGCGGGCAAGCGCAAGACACCUUCCAAGUACAACUGGCUCGAGGUCACAAGCUUGGAUGACCAUGCAUUGUUUUUGGGCAAGUCAUUCUCUAAGGCGGUGCAUGUGCCAUCGGAAAUUUGCGGCGGCGUGGAGAGAAACCAUAUCUAUUACUCGCAUCAUUGUUGGUUAGGUCUAAACACCGCCAUCCCUAGUGACAAGGUAUUCUUGAAAAUCUCAAACGACAGCAGCAGCAUGACGUGCUACAAGGAGGACGACUCGAAGAACGCCAUCACCCACAAUGACCAUGACGUGAAGAGGAUCAUGUCGGUAGGUUAUUUCGUGCAGGGUGGUCUAGAUGGUGGCAUGUGGAUUCUACCUCCAUAUAUCUAG